UCUGUGGAUCGUUACAGCAAAUGAGAGUAGCUAGUGAUAUUGGGUAUUUGGUGUCAUGGUAAAAUCAGACGGGAGGAAGCAGAAA
ncrna:unclassified sequences RAGATH-18 RNA